rnacentral:rRNA from 1 species
CCGCUUGGUGACCAGCGGAGGGAUCAUUA